GUCCUGACCGUAAACGGUGGACACUAGGUGUUGGAGGCAUCGACCCCUCCAGUGCCGCAGCUAACGCAUUAAGUGUCCCGCCUGGGGAGUACGACCGCAAGGUUGAAACUCAAAGGAAUUGACGGGGGCCCGCACAAGCGGUGGAGCAUGUGGUUUAAUUCGACGCAACGCGAAGAACCUUACCCAGGCUUGACAUGCACGGGACAGGUGUGGAAACACACCCUCUCUUCGGAGUCCGUGCACAGGUGCUGCAUGGCUGUCGU
rnacentral:rRNA from 1 species